rnacentral:rRNA from 1 species
CUGCAGUCGAGCGGAUGAGAGGAGCUUGCUCUUCGAUUCAGCGGCGGACGGGUGAGUAAUGCCUAGGAAUCUGCCUAGUAGUGGGGGACAACGUUUCGAAAGGAACGCUAAUACCGCAUACGUCCUACGGGAGAAAGUGGGGGAUCUUCGGACCUCACGCUAUUAGAUGAGCCUAGGUCGGAUUAGCUAGUUGGUAGGGUAAAGGCCUACCAAGGCGACGAUCCGUAACUGGUCUGAGAGGAUGAUCAGUCACACUGGAACUGAGACACGGUCCAGACUCCUACGGGAGGCAGCAGUGGGGAAUAUUGGACAAUGGGCGAAAGCCUGAUCCAGCCAUGCCGCGUGUGUGAAGAAGGCCUUCGGGUCGUAAAGCACUUUAAGUUGGGAGGAAGGGCUCAUAGCGAAUACCUGUGAGUUUUGACGUUACCAACAGAAUAAGCACCGGCUAACUUCGUGCCAGCAGCCGCGGUAAUACGAAGGGUGCAAGCGUUAAUCGGAAUUACUGGGCGUAAAGCGCGCGUAGGUGGCUUGAUAAGUUGGAUGUGAAAUCCCCGGGCUCAACCUGGGAACUGCAUCCAAAACUGUCUGGCUAGAGUGCGGUAGAGGGUAGUGGAAUUUCCAGUGUAGCGGUGAAAUGCGUAGAUAUUGGAAGGAACACCAGUGGCGAAGGCGACUACCUGGACUGACACUGACACUGAGGUGCGAAAGCGUGGGGAGCAAACAGGAUUAGAUACCUUGG